rnacentral:lncRNA from 1 species
AUGAAGCUCACUCCUUCAACAUUUGCACGUUACAUUAAAAGGCAGAUCUCAAGGGUCUCGCAGGUUGAGUCUCCUUCCUUCUCUUCUUCCUCAGCCGUGACAGCACGAAAGGCUUCAGUAACAGCUUGGAGUGGCAUGUCUCCAUCUGGGGUCAAGCCCCUCCCGACGCUGGAGGGAUCAAGGCCACCAGAGCAGUUUUCCCACCAGCCAGGGCUUGCCAUCUGCACAGAGCUUCCACCUCGACCGUGCAGCUGGGCUUUUAUUGGCCCGGAGCAGUCUCGGACCCAGGGUGCGUGUCUGUGUGCGUGCGUGCACGCAUGCGCGGCCUUCCUGAUCCCACUAACAAGACAAAACUCCAAGCUCUUGAUCUGACAAUAGUGAGGUGAGUCCAAGCGGUUUACUUCUUUCCUAGGAGUCCUCCUAACAUUUCAGGGACAUUUCAAAGGGAUGCGACAGGCUGUGUUCAAGGUCUAUGAUUUAGACUGGAGACAGCGUAUGAUCUAUUUAUAGCAAGCACGGGAUUUUAAAAGAGGGUAUGUAUCAUACGUUGGUGAGCAGUACUGGUUCCUUAAGAAAAGUUCCUUAAGACGAGUUUAAAUGACUGAUAGCAAAUUGCCCCAUUUGGAGUUUCUUUCCUCAUUUGCCUGUAACUGGGAAACAGCUAAAAUUUGGAUCUGGUCACAGACAUGCCCUCCCCCACCCCGUGGAUACCCAAUUCUCCUGGCAAGGCAGAGCCCGGUCAAGACGCUUGGAAGGAAGACACUGGCCUCUCAAUCUGAGAUACUUCUCCUGAUUUUUUCUGGAACCCAAGUAUGCCCAUCCCCUGAAGGGGAAAAUCAAACUUUUCAAAGGAAAUUCUUAAAAAAAAAAAAAAAAUUCCCCUAUACAAUCAAAACACCGGGUUUUUCUGAAAAUGACCUCCCUUCUCAUAAAAUAAAUCCUUUGUUUGAAAACUAAUCCUUAGACGUGCAAUUAGGAGCUCACCGCAUUUCCUCCCCCUUGGUCUCCCAGCACACCCACACACCCACUGGGCACUCUCACGCAUGACGUGUUGCAGAAGCUGACCCGUGUUGCUAGCAAGGAAGUCUUGAAUAGUACACGCAUGCCUGCAUCCAGGUACUUAUUGACACAAGUGUACACAAAAUGCACCCGAGAGAUACACACAUACAGAGACCCACACUCACACCCAUCCACGCACAUCAGAUGUCCUAUCUGGAUGUGAAUCUCUCUCUCUCUCUCUCUCACACACACACACAGAGCCAACAAGAGCAGAUGAGGAGAGGAGCAGGACUUGGAGCCUGGUGGAUGGAAGAGGGAGAAGGAAAAUGGCUUGUGGGUGAGAAAAGGUGAGGACUGGUGGGAAGACAGGGCACAAGACAGGAAAAGAAACAGACGGCACGGCUGGGAAGGAAGGCUGCUGAGUGGUGGCAAGGUCCCCAGAGCACAUUUCAGUGAUAAAGCAACUGAAUUCUCGGCCACACCAG